AGUCUAGCCUCUUUCCUACUCGGCUCUGGAGGCGGCAUCGCUGCACUCUGCCGCGCGCGCCGAGCUGCAGCCAUGGCGGUCGCCACUGAGGGCGCCCGUAGGAAGGAGCGCGUCCUUUGCCUGUUUGACGUGGACGGGACCCUCACGCCGGCUCGCCAGAAAAUUGACCCUGAGGUGGCUGCCUUCCUGCAGAAGCUGCGAACUAGGGUGCAGAUCGGUGUCGUGGGCGGCUCGGACUACUCUAAGAUUGCUGAGCAGCUGGGAGAGGGGGAUGAAGUCAUCGAGAAGUUUGAUUAUGUGUUUGCCGAGAAUGGGACAGUGCAGUAUAAGCAUGGACGACUGCUCUCCAAGCAGACCAUCCAGAGCCACCUGGGGGAGGAGCUGCUGCAAGACUUGAUCAACUUCUGCCUCCGCUACAUGGCCCUGCUCAGGCUGCCCAAGAAGCGUGGAACCUUCAUCGAGUUCCGGAAUGGCAUGCUGAACAUCUCACCCAUCGGCCGGAGCUGUACCCUGGAGGAGCGAAUCGAGUUCUCCGAACUAGACAAGAAGGAAAAGAUCCGGGAGAAGUUUGUGGAAGCCCUGAAAACAGAGUUUGCCGGAAAAGGGCUGAGGUUCUCCCGAGGAGGCAUGAUCAGCUUUGACGUCUUCCCUGAGGGCUGGGACAAGCGCUACUGCCUGGACAGUCUGGAUCAAGACAGCUUUGACACCAUUCACUUCUUUGGGAACGAGACCAGUCCCGGUGGGAAUGACUUUGAGAUCUACGCUGACCCCCGGACCGUCGGCCACAGCGUGGUCUCUCCGCAGGAUACAGUACAGCGAUGCCGAGAGAUCUUUUUCCCGGAGACCGCCCAUGAGGCCUGACCAGGACCCACACCCGCUCUUAGGGACUUCCAGAGAGUUCUACCUGGGCCUAAAGAAGGCCCCUGGCCCUGGUGUUGAGGAAGUGGGGAGCCAGGGCCCCUCCUCCUCUGGGCUCAGGAUGCCUGCCUCCUAUACCCUGCUGCAAGGCCCACCUUAAUGGGGCCAGGGUCCACGAGGACCACCGUCCCCAUCCGGUCAGCUCCUGGUGGGACCAGCUCCGUCCUUCACCCUGACAGCCCUGGCUACAGCUGCUGCCCGUCCUUGUGAACAGAACAGAUCUGCCUGCGCUGGGAGUAGGCACGUGCUAGUGUCAGACGAGAUAGAGCCAGCCCGCCCGCCUGUGCCGGAGGGGUACAGAGCGCUAGGGAAGGUGACGAACACUGCCGGAAGGGGGAGGUCUACAAAACAGGAAAAUGGCUCGCACCAGAAGGAGACCGUGCUGUGCCCUGAUCCUGGGCUUCCAGCUCCAGAACCGUGAGGAGUAAAUGUCUGCUGUUUAAGCCCCCAGGCUGUGGUAUUUGGUCACGAUGGAUGGUGCAAGCUAAGACUAACCUCAAAGUCCUUCCAGCUUGAAGCUUAAUUCUCUCACUCUAGGGGUCCGGGAGGUGGGAUGGGUAAGGUGACCAGUGAUGGUCUGGAACAUAGUUUCGCACAAGCGUCAGCAGCUUCAAAUCCACAGACCUGGGUUUGAAUCUCAGCUUUGUCGCUGUAACUUCGUGACUCCAACAGUUCCGUCAUGGUGGGUGGGAACGCGGGCUUUGACCCAGAUGGGCUUGAAUCCCUCCUCCUAUACCUAACUGGCUGUGCAGCCUUUGUCAACACUCUUAACCUUUGACUCAGUUUCCUGCUCUGUAAAAUGGGGAUAGUGCUGGUUCUUACUUCAUGGAGAAGAUUGCCGUGU